UACGUAGGUGGCGAGCGUUGUCCGGAAUUACUGGGCGUAAAGGAUGCGUAGGUGGAAAUUUGAGUGAGAUGUGAAAUUCCCGGGCUCAACUUGGGAGCUGCAUUUCAAACUGGGUUUCUAGAGUGCAGGAGAGGAAAGUGGAAUUCCUAGUGUAGCGGUGAAAUGCGUAGAUAUUAGGAAGAACACCAGUGGCGAAGGCGACUUUCUGGACUGUAACUGACACUGAGGCAUGAAAGCGUGGGGAGCAAACAGG
rnacentral:rRNA from 1 species